CUACACAUGCAGUCGAGCGGUAACACAAGGGAGCUUGCUCCUGAGGUGACGAGCGGCGGACGGGUGAGUAAUGCCUAGGGAUCUGCCCAGUCGAGGGGGAUAACAGUUGGAAACGACUGCUAAUACCGCAUACGCCCUACGGGGGAAAGGAGGGGACCUUCGGGCCUUCCGCGAUUGGAUGAACCUAGGUGGGAUUAGCUAGUUGGUGAGGUAAUGGCUCACCAAGGCGACGAUCCCUAGCUGUUCUGAGAGGAUGAUCAGCCACACUGGGACUGAGACACGGCCCAGACUCCUACGGGAGGCAGCAGUGGGGAAUAUUGCACAAUGGGGGAAACCCUGAUGCAGCCAUGCCGCGUGUGUGAAGAAGGCCUUCGGGUUGUAAAGCACUUUCAGUAGGGAGGAAAGGUGAUGUGUUAAUAGCACAUUGCUGUGAC
rnacentral:rRNA from 1 species